rnacentral:rRNA from 1 species
UACGAAGGGCGCUAGCGUUGUUCGGAAUCACUGGGCGUAAAGGGCGCGUAGGCGGCUUUAUAAGUCGGGGGUGAAAGCCUGUGGCUCAACCACAGAAUUGCCUUCGAUACUGUAGAGCUUGAGACCGGAAGAGGUAAGUGGAACUGCGAGUGUAGAGGUGAAAUUCGUAGAUAUUCGCAAGAACACCAGUGGCGAAGGCGGCUUACUGGUCCGGUUCUGACGCUGAGGCGCGAAAGCGUGGGGAGCAAACAGG